UCCAAGAGAGAUUGAUCUGUCAAUCUGUCUGAUUGUCUACUGUGAGCCAUGAAGUCCUGUGAGAGACUCUGGACUGGGAUCACAAAGGGUUCCAGGCACCUUGGACAAGGAAAGUAGGCAUCCAUGUGAGACUGGAGAGCAACCAUAACGAGCUCUGACUGGAGAGAAGCUGGGCUGCCACUGGCUAAGAAGUGCUUCAUAUAGGUUAUGUUAAAACAACAACAACAGCAGAGACUAUGAGUUGAGUGGAUCAUCUGUCGGUGCUUCUGAAGAGGAGAGAUGAGCUGGCAGAGUGUUCCCACGUGGUGUCGGAAGCCACACAGCAGUUGGAGCCACUUUGCUGGCCUUACCCUUGGCCAAGGAUGCUGCUAGCGUGGCAUGAGCAAAGGCAAUGCUCACCUUCACAAGGAGGGAAGCAGGAUGCUAGGUGCCUGUCACCAUCCCUGUGCACCCCAAAGCUCCAGCAACAGCCUCGUGCCCCCUGAUGCAGCCGGCCAGGAGAGAGACCCCUCCUUGCCGCCCCUCCCAGCACUGCCGCAGAUGGGGCCGGUGUGACAGACAAGUCCCAGCGCCUCGGCCCCGCCAGAUGCCUGCCACAUCAGUGUUGCUAAGCGAGGAGAAGUUUUAACGCGUUGAUUAAUGCCCUGACUCUGGGUGAGUAAUUAGAAUUAAUGUGGGAUAUCAAAUCAGGAAAUCAGGCAUUAUUAGGAGGAAUUAGUGAUUUAUUUUCAUUUUACGCCUGGCUCACCCCAAUCCCCCAACAGUGCUGGGGAUUUGGCAGGAGACAAAGCUCCUCACUUAGAGCAUGAGGAGGGAGAAGUAAGUGGCAAUGAGAGGAGGAGGAAGAAAGGGCAGACCAGAGCUCCUGUGUGGUUCAUCACUAAGUCUCAUCACAGCCUGCUCUUGCUGUAAGCAUGGUGCAGAGCAGCAGCAAGAGACCGGCACCACAGCUGCUGCUUGGGUUCCCAGACAGCUGCAGCUGAAAGGGUGGCAUGAGCCCAGCAGCCACUUGAGCUCCUGCUCAAACCCUGGCCAUCUUGGCACAAUCUCUGGCUUGCUGGAAGUGCCAUCGUGGCACAAAACUGGCACUUCCCUGCUCUAGAUUGCUUUUGUUCUUAAUAGACUGUGGAUGGGAAGAACAUGCCAGAGAAAAAUCUAUGCUCCUGAAACAAGUAACAUGGCAGCAGGGCAAGGCAGGGGUGAACCUCACUGGUGCUAGUGCUACAGGUCUUGCUCCUCAGAGGGGUUUUGCUCUGACACAGCAAUGGGCACAGCAGAACUGGGUUGCAAAGUUUUUGCCCAAGGAGCUGCCAGAUCAUAGCUGAUUACUCCAGAGCUGCUCUCAGUCAGCACAUGGUUGCAAGGCAGCACACAUGGCUGACAGCUUCUCAGGCCACCAUGGGGUGAGAGAAGGCUGAAAAUCCCAAGCCUGCAGCCUACCUUUACCAGUGCAUGGGAAAUAAUGAGGGACAGGGGCAUGAAAUGGUGUAAUUCAGGGCCCACGGUCCUAGUGCCUUGAUAGCAGUUGCUCUGAAAGCAGAGAAGCUGGCCAAAGAAUGGAGGUAGAGGAGCCUGGUGCAGCCCAAGGUCAGCCAGCAUCAGCCUGCAGUACACGAGGAUGCCAAAGCAGCAUCCCUUCUGGGAGGGCAGUAAUGCUCAAGGUGGGGGCAUGAGGCACAGAGAGGGUGGCAGCCCUCCCAGCCACAACGAGUCCUUCAGUCACACAAAUCAGAUGAUGUUCCUCCACGGCUCGUUGAUUGUGUCUGAGAAUGAAUUUUAAUUACACUGCCCGGGCUCAAUAAAUCACAGGGGCAAUUAAAAUCCCCGUUUGCACUGACUAA